AGUGGCGAACGGGUGAGUAAUACAUCGGAACGUACCCAGUCGUGGGGGAUAGCCCGGCGAAAGCCGGAUUAAUACCGCAUACGACCUGAGGGUGAAAGCGGGGGACCUUUCGGGGCCUCGCGCGAUUGGAGCGGCCGAUGGCGGAUUAGCUUGUUGGUGGGGUAAAAGCCUACCAAGGCGACGAUCCGUAGCUGGUCUGAGAGGACGACCAGCCACACUGGAACUGAGACACGGUCCAGACUCCUACGGGAGGCAGCAGUGGGGAAUUUUGGACAAUGGGGGAAACCCUGAUCCAGCCAUGCCGCGUGAGUGAAGAAGGCCUUCGGGUUGUAAAGCUCUUUCGGCCGGAACGAAAUCGCACGGGACAAUACCCCGUGUGGAUGACGGUACCGGAAUAAGAAGCACCGGCUAACUACGUGCCAGCAGCCGCGGUAAUACGUAGGGUGCGAGUGUUAAUCGGAAUUACUGGGCGUAAAGCGUGCGCAGGCGGUUUGUUAAGCCAGAUGUGAAAGCCCCGGGCUCAACCUGGGAACUGCGUUUGGAACUAGCAAGCUAGAGUACGGCAGAGGGGGGUGGAAUUCCACGUGUAGCAGUGAAAUGCGUAGAUAUGUGGAGGAACACCGAUGGCGAAAGCAGCCCCCUGGGUCGAUACUGACGCUCAGGCACGAAAGCGUGGGGAGCAAACAGGAUUAGAUACCCUGGUAGUCCACGCCCU
rnacentral:rRNA from 1 species